rnacentral:ncRNA from 1 species
UCGUGAGGACGACCUCACCACCUGAGCGGUGUACCAACGGGGACGGCCCUG